rnacentral:rRNA from 1 species
AUUGAACGCUGGCAGCAGGCCUAACACAUGCAAGUCGAGCGGAUGAAGGGAGCUUGCUCCUGUAUUCAGCGGCGGACGGGUGAGUAAUGCCUAGGAAUCUGCCUGGUAGUGGGGGAUAACGUCCGGAAACGGGCGCUAAUACCGCAUCCGUCCUGAGGGAGAACGUGGUGGAUCUUCGGACCUCACGCUAUCAGAUGAGCCUAGGUCGGAUUAGCUAGUUGGUGGGGUAAAGGCCUACCAAGGCGACGAUCCGUAACUGGUCUGAGAGGAUGAUCUGUCACACUGGAACUGAGACACGGUCCAGACUCCUACGGGAGGCAGCAGUGGGGAAUAUUGGACAAUGGGCGAAAGCCUGAUCCAGCCAUGCCGCGUGUGUGAAGAAGGUCUUCGGAUUGUAAAGCACUUUAAGUUGGGAGGAAGGGCAGUAAGUGAAUACCUUGCUGUUUUGACGUUACCAACAGAAUAAGCACCGGCUAACUUCGUG